GGUCCUAGCGCACGCCGGUUUCGCGCACUGCGCGGCUGGGGGAGCGCCCCGCCCCGGCCCGGAAACCGCCGGAAGGGGACCCCGGAGCCCACCGCUCCGGGUUCCCAGUCCGUGCAGCAGCGGCCACGCACCUCGUCCCUUCCGCACCCCUGCUGGAUCGGGAAGGAAGCAGGAUAAGUUAAUGAGAUGUCCACCAGAGGGCCUGGCAUGGACACAGCACAUGGCCACAGAGGCUGCUGGGCGCUAUGGAAUCUUGUCCCCUGGAGAGGCACACAGCCAGGGCAGAACAUCAAGGUCAAGGCUCUCCUGAAGGCUUUACAGUGCUUAGUGACACCACCAUCAGUGACCAUCAGGUAUCAGGAAACCAUUUGGCACCUCCUCUGGAACGAAGGCAUGGCCAGGCACUUGAGAUCUGGCUGUUGAGGCAGACGUAGUGCACGUGACCUACAGGGUGAG